rnacentral:rRNA from 1 species
GACGAACGCUGGCGGCGUGCUUAACACAUGCAAGUCGAACGAAGUGGCGAACGGGUGAGUAACGCGUAAUCAACCUGCCCUUCAGAGGGGGACAACAGUUGGAAACGACUGCUAAUACCGCAUACUGAAGGCGUGGAUUGCGUCUGAUUAGCUAGUUGGAGGGGGAACGGCCCACCAAGGCGAUGAUCAGUAGCCGGUCUGAGAGGAUGAACGGCCGCAUUGGGACUGUGACACGUCCCAGACUCCUACGGGAGUCAGCAGUGGGGAAUCUUCCGCAAUGGACGAAAGUCUGACGGAGCAACGCCGCGUGAGUGAUGACGGCCUUCGGGUUGUAAAGCUCUGUUGUUAGAGAAGCGGUAUCUAACCAGAAAGCCACGGCUAACUACGUGCCAGCCGCCGCGGUAAUUC